UUUUGCUCCUCCCUGUGCCUGCGUUUCUCGACGGGUGUACGCUGCCGUGGUUGUCGUAGCCUCCUUGUCCGGUUUUCUGUUAUAAGUAUAAAGAUUCAUUUGACUUCGCUAGCACUCACCAAGAAGUCUUUUGCGGCACACUUAUUUUUAGCUCUUUUUGCUUUCUGCUUUUUGCCCGUUCAUGGCAAGAAUAAUCAAGUCUUUUCAGGGCUUUUGGUAAAUUGCUUUUUUAGCUUUUUUGGCAAUAUUGUUUGCUCGGGUCGCGCGCCGCGCUCGUGUUUUCGCCUGUCAGCUAUGCACGUUGUGCGCUUUAGCUGCGCGGAGUUUUAAAAAUUAGCUCUGACACACGCACUGCUUUACUCGUGAUGCGCACGGCCACUUUUUAGCUUGUCGCGCGGAGUAAACUAUACUUGUUGCGGUUUACUAACUUUCUAAUUUGGACUGAGCGUUUGUUUGAAUCCAGGUUUCGACCGAAGCCAUUAAACGAAAGCAACAGAGCACCACCCCGUCCGUGCCGGGCUAACCUUCACGUGCAGUCGUUUUCGUCCCCCUUGGGCUCAAUAAUUUUGUAAUUCAUAGCGGCCUUUAGCUCUUUUCUUGUGCCAUAAUAUUGCAAAAGCUUGCAUAUUUUAGUUACUGAGGAUUUUUAAUUGAAGUUAUCGCUUCGAAUUAUCAGCGAAACGCAUUAUGAGGCAUAAUUUUAUUUGAAGAAGUGUCUAUAUAUAAAUAUAUAUACUAAUUUUUUUUUUACGCCUACGCUUGAAGACUGCUUUUUGGUAACUCCUUUAUAGCCCUUUAACUCUUUUGCUUGUCAAGCUGAAUAGGAAGGCACCCCUUUGGCGUCUGGGAUUUACUAGCAUGCUUUUAUGUCUUUUGUUUAUCAUUUCUUAUAGAUACUCGCGUGUAAAGGGAGAGUAUUGUUGAAGUGACGUUUGUUUGCCGCAACGUGUUUCAGUACACUGGAAUUUGGGUUUGCUAGCGAAAUAUUGAAGGUUAGCACUUCCGGAGUAAAGACGAGAAUUCAUGCGCUUGAUGGAACUGAAGCUGCAGCUUCCUCGUCAGAGUCAAGCACGCCCGCCUCUCAGCGAAGACACCAUAACUUUUUCGAUACUGUGUUCUGCUACGGGAUAAUAAAAACUGUUAUCAUUUC